CAAAGUUGUUACGGUCUUUAUUCUUGUCUGACGUUAUUGGAAAAGAAAUAUUAAUAGCAGUGUGUUAGGACAACAUCAGAGCAUCAUCAGAAAACAAACUAAACAGUGAAACAUAGACCAGGACACAACAGCAGGUUUGUCAACUCAUCGUUGACUGGGACUUUUUCAUUAAGAUUACCAUUUAACUGUGACACAGCUGAAGGAAACUCUUUGUCGCAUUGACUUUACAUUAGAAGUAAACAGAUUGAUAAAGUCACAUUGACGUAAGAUUAGAAGCAAUCAGAAUGAGACAAUAAAAUCCUAAGAGAGAAAAAAAAAUGAAUAAAAUAUUAAAUAAAUACUAGAUGUUUAUAAACAUUUUUUUUUUAUUUCAUGAUCAUACUAGUCAAAAUGUUGUAUAGGCCAAGUGACAGUGUAUUAUAUUUUGUGUUGAGUCCAGGCAUGGAAUCAAGUUUACAGUAGGGCAGAAAUGAGUUAUGAAAUCAAUAUUCCCAAAGUGUACAGCCAAGUGUACAUCAGUCUUCAUAUAUACAAGUUAUAUAUAUAUAUAUACACAAUAGUAUGACCACUUCCUUUGUGCCAAUAGCUGUACAGUAUAUCACAUUCAGAGAAAACCAGUCUAACUAAACCAGCUGGGUUUUAUAUGCUAGAGGAAAGAGAAUAGCAGUAAGAAAUAACAGCAAGAUGGACAAUACUUUUGACAGUCAAGAACUCAAAUUGUUAUUUAAAUAUGGUAUUAUGGCUGUGUUCAAAAGUAAUGAAAGAUUACAGGAUCUAUCGGAUGAUAGCCCCACUGUGACCUAUAUACCAUAUAUAACAGUUGUUAUAACAGAAAGAUGUCCAACACUGUAAAAAAAAAAAAAAAAAGUUUAAUAACCAGGUUGAUGUAGGACUUAGCUUGAGAUCUGUGUGAAUCAAGGAUGAAAGAGCACUUUAAAAACCCAGCACUUUGCCUUGUUAAAUAUACACAGAAAAAUCUAAUCCUGUAAUUGUGUACAAAAUGUACACUUAGUAUUUUAAACUAGACAUAUAAGACAUGGAAUACAAGCUACCACUGCAGUUUAAACAAAUAAAUUAAAAUUGUUACACGAACCACAAGUGAGUUUGGUCAAACUUGAGAACUAUCUUGCUCUGACUUAAGACAGUUAUAGUUUCACACACCAACUUGUAAGGGUUGAAAGAUUGUCUCCACAGAUUUACUCUAGUGAUCGCAGCAAUCAUUCUAGAAUUGAACUGUCUGAUGUCAAUUCCAGAUGUAAUGUUGAAGUGACACUGGGCUAUGAAAUGUAGAUUUUGUGUUGCUUUAGUACAAAUUGUUGGCUCUAAUCAUGCACAAUUGGAAAACAAAUUUCCUCAUGGAUAAUAAAGAUAAGUAUUAUUAAAGAGAGAUAUACCUGUGCCAACAUAUAUGUUAAAACUUAUUUUGAUCAGAAUUUCUUUUUAAGUAGAGCAAGACAAAACAAAACAAAAAAAAAACACGUUGCAUAACUAAAACAGUGACCUGAGCAAAGACAAGGUCAGGCCAACUCAGCAACUGGAUAUAGAAUUCACGCUACACAGGUAUCUUUCAAAAAUAAGACGCCAUCAGUUAAUAUGUAAAAAAAAAACAAAACAGUCAAACAUGAUAGCUUGCAAUUAAUUACUCGGAUGUGAGUACAUUUAUUAAUUUAAUCCAUAAUAGAUUUUCAACUGUUUUUUUUUUUGUUUUGUUUUUAAAAUAUACACAUUUUUACUUUUAGAAUGUUUUUUGUUUAAAUAUUAAGUGAUCUAUUUCUGUUUGAAUUAGAUCAAUGAUAAAUCAUAAACUAAAGAGCUAGAGAAUUUCAACCCAACAAAAGCCUAAAUUUAGCUAGUACAAGUCCUCAAGAAAACUUCUAUCUAAAUAAAAAUAUAAAAAAUCCAUGAAUAUCUAUGCCCAACUGAUACAAAAAAAAAAAAAUAUACAAAAACAAACAAUGUGGGCGACUCUAGAAACAUAAUGUGCUAACCAUGCUAACCAGUCAGCUUCUUUGUUAGCACACAUAACCUAAACAAGUCUACAAGCCCUGCAAUCUUCUCAAGAACUCCUCACAACUUUGUUUAGAAAUGACUGAAGGAGAACAGAUCUGAAAACUCAAUUGCUAGACUCAAUAAAUACUGGUGUGCCGCAGUAGGAAUGUGUCAAGUGUUAUGAAGAUUAGUGAAUCCAUUUCUGAGCUUUGUUUUAACGUAACUGUAAAAUUUAAAAAAUAAAAAUCUCAUCAGAUUAAUGUGACAAAAAAAUAAAAUGUCUAUGUGAUGAAGCACAGUAAAGGUAAGAAUAUAAAUAACUGGGGUCUACAAGUGGAUCAAGUCACCUGACACUUUCUUUAAGCACAAAGGAAACAAAAUGCAUUGUCUUAAAAAAAAAACAGCUACUAAGGUCAAGGUUAUACCAUAAUCUUAGCACUAAUCACAGUCUCGCCCAAAGCUGAUUAGUUUACUCAAGACAAUAAUAAAUUAUAAUAACUUAAAAAGAGCUCCAGACAAUUUCUAAAGCUUAUGUAACAAUUUGUCCUGAAACUCAAUGUUACAACACAACACAAGUUCUCUCAAAUAAAUGACCUAAUUUUUAUCCUUUGAAAUAGUCACCAAGACAUGUUUUUAUUUGUGAUCAGACUUUCUGGUAUGCAUUUGAUCAAUGGCAUAGCUUCAGGACAAAUCACACCAAAGUAACUCAUUUAUCCAGGCCUCUGACUUAAAAAAAAUAAGCUAUACAUUCCCCCCCCCCCCCCC